CCAGCAGUCUGCCUCCGCUUGGGCAAUGGCAAGCAAGCUCUAGCUCCAAGCUAAAGCUCAGUGGUGGACUGGACUCUGGUGUGCCUCUCUAUAUAAAUCUAGCUCCCGGAGCUCUUUUCCCCAGCACACCACGCCCGAACCGAAACCGGCACAAAGACAAAAAGUGAUCGACCGGCGGCCGGCCAGGCUAGGCAAGGGCAUCCUCAAUAAGCACGGCCAGAAAGUCAGGGGUAGGGAGAAGGAUGACGAUGGCGAUGGCAAGUAUGCCGCCGGCUUGUGCGGCAACCGAGCUGGUGGCCAAGGGGAGGGAGUCGGCUGCCGUUCUCAAGGCCAUGCUCGGCCAGCUUCCUGCGGCGGCGACGCCCCAUGAUGGUCUCCGGGAUCUGGCCGAGCAGGUCCUCCGCUGCUGCGACCGAGCUCUGGCGGCCUUGCUCAGAGGCGCGGCAACGGAGGAGGCUGCCUGCAGCAGUUCGGCCAGGAAGCGCCGCAAGCAGCCAGCAGAGCGGCAGGGCGGCCUGGCUCCUCCUCCUCCUUCUCCUGCUGCGACGGGAUCCAAGAGGAUGAGGAUGAGCCGUGGAGAGCGGGGGACACGAGCGGAGAAGAAAGAAACAAUGGAGGACGGCUUCAUCUGGAGGAAGUACGGCCAGAAGGACAUCCACGGCAGCAACUACCCCAGGCUCUACUUCCGCUGCACCUACAAGGACGACCGCGGCUGCGAGGCCCGGAGGCAGGUGCAGCGGUCGGACACCGACCCCUGCGCGGCCUACCUCAUCACCUACUUCGGCGAGCACACCUGCUGCUGCCGCGACGACGCCGUCGAGGCGCCAGCGCCAUUCGUCAUCGACUUCGGCUUGAGCGCCGCUGCCUGUGACGACGGCCUGCAGCUGCCGCAAUACGGUUCGCCUUGGCCGUCUUGCGACGACGACGGCCCGGGCCCGGUGGAAUUGCAAACGCCGCCGCCGCGCACAUCAGCUGAUCUGUGCAGUUCACCGCCGGAGGAGGAGUUGCGGGCUGGCGCGUGCGACGUGGCUGAGUUCGUCGCCGAGCAGUCAACGACGGUGACAGCAGAGCUCAUGGGUAGGAUGACCUCGCCGGAGUGGGACGGGUGCUUGGACUGGGAGUUGGGCGAAGGCGACAGCUCACUCGACGUUGACGGUUUCGACAGAUACUACUUCGAUUACAGUGAUCUGCUUUAGAGCCUGUACAAUCUAUUAAUCUAAUUAAAUAAGGAGUUUUUUUGAGCGGUCUCUAGAAGAGACAGAUUCUUCGUCAAGAGUUCGAGAGUUCGUCUCUACUCAAUUUCUAUAUAUAUAUAUAUUAUAUUUUGACUGUAUUUAUUGUUUAGACGUUCACUUUGGAUUAUACACGCC
rnacentral:misc_RNA from 1 species